rnacentral:piRNA from 1 species
AACAUAUUACAGGUUCGGUGGUUUAGGAA